UAUAGGAUGCCAGAUAAAUAUGGGUCAAAUUUAGGAUUUGAAUAUGAGUGAUUGGUUAGUUAUUCUCCUAUAU
rnacentral:tRNA from 1 species